UUGAGUUGGCCAAAAAGUUUGUUCCAGUUUUUCUAUCACAUCUUAUGGAAAAACCGGACUGAACUUUCUGGCCAACCCAA
rnacentral:miRNA from 1 species